rnacentral:rRNA from 1 species
GAUCCUGGCUCAGGAUGAACGCUAGCGGCAGGCUUAACACAUGCAAGUCGAGGGGCAGCAUGAGGAGUCAGCAAUGACACCUUGAUGGCGACCGGCGCAAGGGUGCGUAACGCGUGAGCAACCUGCCCGUCACGGGGGGAUAACCGGUGGGAACGCCGACUAAUAUCCCAUAGUUCUUUUUAGGGGCAUCCCUUUAAAGAUAAAGGCUUCGGCCGGUUGACGGAUGGGCUCGCGUGACGUUAGGCAG